GUGCUCGUUUCAGCAGCACAUCUACUAAAAUUGGAAUGAUACAGAGAAGAUCAGCGUGGCCCCUGCACAAGGAUGAUGUGCAAAUUCAUGAGGCGUUCCCUAUUUUU